rfam:Gossypium arboreum cultivar AKA8401 contig_383198_1, whole genome shotgun sequence.
GGGUGCCAUCAUACCAGCACUAAUGCAUCGGAUCCCAUCAGAACUCCACAGUUAAGCGUGCUUGGGAGAGAGUAGUACUAGGAUGGGUGACCUCCUGGGAAGUUCCUCGUGUUGCAACCC